CGGGGUGGAGGUAACGCGUGGGUAACCGUGCCUCAUACAGGGGGAUAACAGUUAGAAAUGACUGCUAAUACCGCAUAAGCGCACAGUGCCGCAUGGCACAGUGUGAAAAACUCCGGUGGUAUGAGAUGGACCCGCGUCUGAUUAGCUAGUUGGUGGGGUAACGGCCUACCAAGGCGACGAUCAGUAGCCGGCCUGAGAGGGUGAACGGCCACAUUGGGACUGAGACACGGCCCAA
rnacentral:rRNA from 1 species